ensembl:lncRNA
UGGGUCGGGGCGGUCUGUGGGGAGCUCCUGUGGUUGUAGCGUCCGCUGCGGGCUGGGAGAGGACGCGGAGUGAGAGGCGCUCGGUGCCCGUGCGGAGCGGUGUGCGCCCGGUGGGAGUGCCGCGUAGCGCUCAGAUGCCAUCAAUGGCUCCAAAAUCAAGUGACUUUUCCCUCUGGGAGUGGCAGCAUUUCUACGAGCAAUGCCUACUUUGUCUGUAGGUUUUCUGACAAAGCGGAUCGGAUGGAAACUUCCCCAUCUAUCAAACGACCGGAUAAAAAGGGCACGGGAGAGUCCUGAAAGAUUUCUUGCAAGAUUUAUUUUGCUAAACGAGGAUGCAUGUAUGGGAUCCAAGAGCAACGGUGGGAUGGGAGAUGGCACGGAGCGAAGACCCCCAGAUCUCCUUAACCAUGGCUUUAAUAUACUCCUCAAAUUUGGAACAAUGAGGGAAUGAAUUUCUCAGAUGUGCAUGGUAAUCAGUGCUGAAGAGAAUUUCUGCCCAGGACUUCAUCUGGAGUUUCUGACAUCUCCUGCCUAUGUGUAGGGGUGAGAGGAGCUGGAAAAGCUGCUGUGCCAUAGCCAUAAACUUCAGUGUUCCACUGUUGUGAUGAUAAGACAAAGGAAACCUGUUAGAUGUGGCGUAGUAUUCCUUUAGACACGUGCAUAGCUGAACAGAAGAUGUUGCUAUCCAACUCUGUGUCACAGGCUCUGCAUCCUGCCCGCCCUCCCCUAACACUGCAGAUACAGGUUGCUGGUUCUUUCCAAGGAAAUCAUUGAGUAUGCCACCAGGUACAUCCUCACAGAGCUAGAAGAAGCCACUGGAGCAGCUGCUGGCUCCGCCAUCCCCCUCUCUUCUGACUGCAGGACUGCUCCAAUGCUAAUGCUUUGCACGUGGGAUUCAUCUGCCUUGAGCUCUUGAUGUUGAGAGUUAAUCAUUGGACUGCAAACUUGUCACCUACGGCUCUCCAUAUAGUUAAUGGAGAGAAAUAGACACCUCCAGAAGGCAGCGUGUCUCAUCUAUCUUGGAUAUCUGUGGGAAGAUGAAAUGAGCUGCUUCUUGGAGCUACCCAUUUCUCUCACUGGUCUGAAGGGAGCCGAGGGUGCUGGAUCAGAUGGAGGGCUGCAAAGAAGGAAGAAGAAACCUCUGACCCUCCCAGUGCCCCCAGUGGUCAGCACAGUAGCUCAGCAACAGCAACGCCUUUCUAAUCAAACCAAUGGAUCUUGGUUUUGUGUCAGAGCCCAGAGUUGCUCCUGAUGUCCUGCUGGAGGCUCAACCUUGCAAGACCUGCCUUGGAUCUUGGUGACCCUAUCAACCACUGGACAUAAGGCUGAACUUGCUGAUGAAACUGUAUCAGAAGUGCCAGAGCUUGGUAUGGAUAUUGCAGAAUUGUAACUGCCCACCAGGUGUUCCUAGCUCCCUCUUAGACACAAUCAUAAAAAGGCAAACAUGGUCCUGAGACCUGUGUCCUACAGGAUGAAAUCAGCAUCAGGAACUAGAUUGGUUUCAAUGGCAGUGGCUAAAUUCAGUGUGAUGAUACUUAAAAUGUGGGCAGCAGAACAUGUUGGACGUGCUCUGUAGAAACAGGAGCAGCUCAAGGCUGUCAGUUGUUAAAGCAUUUACCUACCAUAGACCAAAUGUCAACCUGAGAGCAGAGUGAGGGGUGGAAAAGGGAAAAAGCCUUGGCUACAGCCCAGCUGCAGCAGAUGUUGAGGGCUCAGUCCAGGAACAGGGCAUGAGCUGAGGACUGGAAUGGACGGACACACCUGAGUGAACUCCACCACAGCCAGGCGAGCUCCCAGGGAUGUGCAGGAGUGCACAGAGGCCCAGGAACCAGGGGACAACAAGGGGGCCACCCCCGCACAAAGCCAGCCAUCACAUCUCAACACUUCUUCAUUCCCCUGUGGACUGCAGAGGAGCCUAAACAGGUCAGAUCUUAUCCUGGGCACCAACCACGCAGUGGUGAAUGACUAUGGUAAAAUUUGCAAGAGCAAUAUUGUCCCCUCACCUCUGAAGAAUAUUGUAAAUACUUUUAGUACUUUUGUUUGCUUGCAGAGUGGGAUAAUCCCUCCUAACUUGACUCUCUGCUAACCCUACAUGCUGUUUCUACAUUUAGUUUUGAUUAAAAAAAAAAAAAGAAGAAGAAGAAAAAUUGAUUACAUUUGAAUACAUAUUUAAGAGGGCGUUUAACCCCCCUCCUGUCAAUUGGUUAGAUGCCAUCUGAGAUGGCUGAGUAGAAGUGACAAUGCUUCUGGCUAGGACUGCAUUACAGAGGGUUCAGUGUGCUGCUGGAAGUGGGGAAUAUUUAAUUACAGCAAACUCCCCUGAGAUGGGAUGGAUAGGUCACACGAACAACCCAAUCUGUCUGCUGCAGGUAAGCAGGCCAUGAAUAACAAGCACAGUCUAAUUUAGGAAUGUAAAUAGAGGGAUGCCUGAUUUGAGGCACUGAGGCCUGAACAUUUUAGGCAUCAUUGUACAAAUAAAGCAGGCAAUCUGUACAGCAGUUUUGGCUCUGAAAUGAC